rnacentral:rRNA from 1 species
CCAAUAGCGUAUAUUAAAGUUGUUGCAGUUAAAAAGCUCGUAGUUGAAUUUCGGGGUUCUACCGUUGGUCGGGCUACCAAGUCUGUACUGGUGUGUAGAAUUCCUACCUUCUGGGGAACUAUCAUGUUAUUAAUUUAGCGUGGUGGGAAACCAGGACCUUUACCUUGAAAAAAUUAGAGUGUUCAAAGCAGGCUUAUGUCUGAAUACAUUAGCAUGGAAUAAUAGAAUAGGACGGUGGUCCUGUUUUGUUGGUUUCUGAAUCACCGUAAUGAUUAAUAGGGAUAGUUGGGGGCAUUAGUAUUCAAUUGUCAGAGGUGAAAUUCUUGGAUUUAUUGAAGACUAACUUCUGCGAAAGCAUUUGCCAAGGAUGUUUUCAUUAAUCAAGAACGAAAGUUAGGGGAUCGAAGACGAUCAGAUACCGUCGUAGUCUUAACCAUAAACUAUGCCGACUAGGGAUCGGACGAUGUUAAAUUUUAUUGACUCGUUCGGCGCCUUACG